CAUGGAAUGCCUUAUCACAUUAUUAAAAUCUAUCUAUUUUAAAGAAUUAUUCAUCAGAUGACUUAAAGAAUCAUCGAUUCCUAGACAACGAGCUGCUCUGAAAACAAGUAAGUCUCUGUGAGGAACUGGGUGGUAGAAAGCCAAGGAAACCAAAAGUGAUUGUUCUGUUAGUGUGACUUUGGUUGUUUGCCCUGUGUAGGAGUCUGACAAAAUGUGCAAACGUUGAAUUUGCAAAACUAAUUAGCACAUAAAAGUCCAGCUGUAAUAGCAAUCAAAACUUGCUGGUUCAACAUACUAUGGUUUUUUGGGGGGGGUUAUUAACACAUCCUGCACAUAUGGCCCCAGUUGAAUAUCUGGAGCUGCUCAUAUCAGCAAGUUAAUAUCAGGGGAUUUAGCUGCAAGUUUUUAUUGGUGGCAGUUGCAGAACCAACAUGUGGUCUGACUGACUGGUGCUUCCAGCACUGUUUGCAUCUGUAGGGAAAAGAGGAAAAAGUGACUGUUACUGCUCUCCUUACCCUCCACAAUAAUGAGGUACUGUGUUUUUACAGACUCUCUGGUUGAGAUUGCUGUUUGAGAGACCUGGUGGACUGUGGCCUUGCUAGAAGUUGUAACUACGGCAGCAAGGCAACGCUGGUGGUUUGCAUGUCACUGCUGAGAUUUACUUGCUCAUAGUUGUUUAAUUGCAGGAUUUCGCUGGCAUUUUCUUCACCUAGGGACUGCAGGGAGAGGGACAGCACCAAAGUACGAACGAAGAUUUCAUUUUACCUUUUUCUGAAACAAAAACCAACCGAGCAAACAAAACACCCAGACAACGGAAAAUGCGAACGUUGUAGAUUUGCUGUUUCCCAGUCAAGGAUUUUCCUGAUGCCUGCGGAUCAAAGCCCAAGAGCUGCAGUUCCCUUGUGCAGACUGCAGAAUCCAUUUCAGAUGAGCAAUGCGCUUUGGGAAAACCCUGAAGCCAGGCAAGAAGGAAGAAGGAGAGAAGGAGAGGAAGAAGUGAGCUUGAGCUCUGCCAACACUGUCAGAGGUGGGACAGCGAGAGCUGAGAUUUAUCUCUGCUGGAGACCAGUGGAAUCUCCUGUGGCUGGAAAAGAACUUCUGGGACAACUCCUCUGGCCAGAGGUGAACAAAACAAGCUAGAGUUUUCUGUCAAGUGGAAGGUCAUAAUUACUGCUACCACUCUUUGGCAAAUUGGCAACUAAGCCAAUUGGUAAUUUACUGAUCAGUGCUUUUACCCAAUGAGUUUACAUAUUUGUAUCUAUUUUAUAAUCAAGAGUUCAUUGUUUAUAGAACAUUAUGAAGUGUAAUAACUUGCACUUUGGAUUUUUUCUAUAUAUUUUACAUAAAUUUCAUGAGAACACUUAAUUAGUUUGUUAGAAUUAAUGAAACCCUGAAAAGUUAGAAGUCAUGUUUUAUACCAUUCUGGGUUUUGUUUGAAUGUAUCUCAAACUAAUACACAAGUACAGAACUUAAACAGUUAUGUAGUUUUUAGUCCAAUACAUUCUGUAAUGAAUUUGUGUGAGAGGAAGAGCGAGAAUUAUUUGAAGUCUGAAGAUCUGUGUUUCAAGUCAUGCCCUGGAGAUGGUAGCUGUUCUUCUGCCAACAGCAACGCCUUGUGCUUCAGUGGAGGGAAAAGAUUAGCCUAGGAAGUAGGUUGUUGCUGAGUGUAUCAGAAGUACAGUGUCUCAGGUCUCUGAGCACAUGCCCUAAGCGUUCCUCUUCAGAAGAUGCCGCAUCAGAUCUCACAUAAGAACACUUUGACUCCAUACCUCAGUUUUGCUUCAGGACACAGAUCUUCUCUGUAUCUUCUCCUGAGCGUCGUUCACUCUUAAGAAAUUUAUCCUCUGUGAAAACAAACCCUCUGUUAGGAGAGAGCAAUAGUUAGAUGACCACACACAUGCCAUAUGGUCUAUACACACUAAUCAAAAGGAAAGUGCUUUCAUCAUAAUUUGAAAUUGUAGAUAACUUUCAUUAAACAAAGUUUUACACUUUUUUAAACAUACCUAAUGCACUGACUAAGAACUUACUUGCAGUUUGGAGGAGACAAACAUAUAGGGUGCAUUAAAGCAAUAGGUGCACAAUACUUUUUGUCUCAGAAAUGCUGGUGGCUAAGCUGCUGGCGUCUAUCCCACAUGACACCAAAAGUGAUAGGAGUAUACUGUUUUCCCAGAAAACUGCCAAUCUCACGUAGGUAUCUUGAGGUGGCAGAUGGUCUUGUCUUUGUAACAACGGUGGAAAUGAUCAUGCGGUUUAUUUUUAGUGAUGUAAAUUUGGAAAAGCAAAUCCAGGUGCUCAGGGGAAAAUACAAACUUGAAGGAUGCUUGGCUUCUUGUACUAGAUCUUUAUUUUAUGUAGAAAUCUCAUAGUAAGUUAUUUCUGAAAAUAAUCCAUGAGAUAUCUGCAUGAAUAUCAUUCUGGAGCCAAAUACAAGACAUUCUGUCGUACAUCUCACAACAGCAAGGCAAUGGCUCCAGCACUGUGCUCAUCUCUCUGCUAUUCUUAUAGGUUGCACGUAUUUCUGUAUUCCUCCACAGAUACAGCUAUUGAUACCUGCUGCAGAGCACGUGUCUUCUCCAUGGCUGGUCCCACAAAAGGGCAGUAGAAUUCGACAGCCUAGUUUAUUACAGAUUAAAUCCAGUCCUGGAGCGUUGUUGUUUACUGAAGUUUACAGUGUUAUUUCAUUCCCCAGUGGCCAGCACACUCAUUAAUUCUCGGCGCAGUGUUUCCCCCAGUUUUGAAAGGAUCGUGCUCUUCAUUGAUCCUAGCACCUGCCCCUUCCUCCAGAAAUUAGCAUCUGUGUUGUACACCUUCAGCUCCCCGAAGCAGAGGAUUCCCAGUUUAACUCCUUUCUUUGGGAGUAUUUUUUCCCUGCACUAUUCACUGUGCUACUUAUGCUACUUUGUGUUCUUUAAGCCAUCAUAUUACACAUGAUGAGCACCCUGGAAAUGAAUAAUUGCUGCCAGCAUUAACUGUCUGUCCCAUGAAAA